CAGGCCUUGACAUCCCGAUCGCGGCCCCUUGAAAGAGGGGCUUUCAGUUCGGCUGGAUCGGUGACAGGUGCUGCAUGGCUGUCGUCAGCUCGUGUCGUGAGAUGUUGGGUUAAGUCCCGCAACGAGCGCAACCCUCGCCCUUAGUUGCCAUCAUUAAGUUGGGCACUCUAAGGGGACUGCCGGUGAUAAGCCGCGAGGAAGGUGGGGAUGACGUCAAGUCCUCAUGGCCCUUACGGCCUGGGCCACACACGUGCUACAAUGGCGGUGACAAUGGGCAGCAAAGGCGCGAGCCCCAGCUAAUCUCAAAAAGCCGUCUCAGUUCGGAUUGCACUCUGCAACUCGGGUGCAUGAAGUUGGAAUCGCUAGUAAUCGUGGAUCAGCACGCCACGGUGAAUACGUUCCC
rnacentral:rRNA from 1 species